rnacentral:rRNA from 1 species
GACGAACGCUGGCGGCGUGCUUAACACAUGCAAGUCGAACGAUGAAGCCUAGCUUGCUAGGUGGAUUAGUGGCGAACGGGUGAGUAAUACGUGAGUAACCUACCUUUAACUCUGGGAUAAGCCUGGGAAACUGGGUCUAAUACCGGAUACGACCAAUCUCCGCAUGGGGUGUUGGUGGAAAGCGUUAUGUAGUGGUUAUAGAUGGGCUCACGGCCUAUCAGCUUGUUGGUGAGGUAACGGCUCACCAAGGCGACGACGGGUAGCCGGCCUGAGAGGGUGACCGGCCACACUGGGUCUGAGACACGGCCCAGACUCCUACGGGAGGCAGCAGUGGGGAAUAUUGCACAAUGGGCGCAAGCCUGAUGCAGCGACGCCGCGUGAGGGAUGACGGCCUUCGGGUUGUAAACCUCUGUUAGCAGGGAAGAAGAGAAAUUGACGGUACCUGCAGAGAAAGCGCCGGCUAACUACGUG